CUAUCUAUAUAUCUGUCUCUCUCUCUCUAUAUAUAUAUAUAGUUAUAUAGCUCUAUCUAUAUAUCUGUAUGUAUUGUUUUUCUGUACCUUACCAUAUUGUACAUAUGCAGAUGAUGUGAACAGUGUCUUUAUUGUUUGAUUUAUGGAUGUCUUUACGUUCUACCUCUCCAGUCCCCCUUCUGUCUGUCAAUCAAUAUUGUUGUUGAUUUUAUGUUUAUUAUUGUUAUUAUUCUAUUGUUGUGGAAACAUUCCAGUGAAGGAAUUCCUGUUUAUUUGAAUGUAAAAAUAAUAUAAUUUGAAUGCAGGAAGCAGAAAGGGUUGAACUUUAUACUCUUAACUGUAUACAAGGGGGAACGAUAAUGUUUUUCACUCUGUGAUCUCAUCAUUUAUGACCAAAUACAUGUUUACUACUAUGCCACCAGGAAUUCGUUUCUGAAGAAAAUAGAAUAAACAAUGUGAUUAUCAUUAUAAAUUAAUGUGAUUAUCAUUAUAAAUUAAUGUGAUUAUCAUUAUAAAUUAAUGUGAAAUCAAACAUAUUUUUUGAUUUUUUAAAAUUAUUUUUUUUAGCUUACAGCAGUGGAGAAAUGUAGCCAACAAAAUUAUACUUGAAUCUAUUUAGUAAAUCUAAUUCUUAAAUGCAUUACUAUACUAGUCGGGAAAAAAUACUUGAUUUUAGAAUUUCGUUGUUAUUAGAAUGUUUUUUCCCCCAAGGUGGCAGUGCCCAAGGUGUCAGUGCCCAAGGUGUCAGUGCCCAAGGUGUCAGUGCCCAAGGUGGCAGUACCCAAGGUGGCAGUACCCAAGGUGUCAGUGCCCAAGGUGGCAGUACCCAAGGUGGCAGUACCCAAGGUGGCAGUGCCCAAGGUGGCAGUACCCAAGGUGGCAGUGCCCAAGGUGGCAGUGCCCAAGGUGGCAGUACCCAAGGUGGCAGUACCCAAGGUGGCAGUGCCCAAGGUGUCAGUGCCCAAGGUGUCAGUGCCCAAGGUGUCAGUGCCCAAGGUGUCAGUAGUAACAACUAUCUCUGUCUUACAGUGUGAGAGCCGACCUGGUUCGGUCCUAUUCUGUAGAGGUGAGGUAGCUAGGGAAGUCCUCCUAUAGGAGACCUAGGACCACCCUGCCAUGACCAGAGAGACAGAGUCUGCAUCCCAAAAUGGCACCCUAUUUCCUAUAUAGUGCACUCGUCCCCAUAGGCCCUAGUCAAAAGUAGUGCACUGUAAAUGGAAUAGUGUGCCAUUUGGGAUGGAGCUUAUUGAUCUCAAAAUGUUAUUUUAUUCAUGUUGUUUUUUUCCUCAAAACAUUCCAAUCGCUUAACUCGUCUCGAAUGAUGUCAUCAUUGUGAUUGCAAAUGGCUGUUGUGAUUGUUGACAAUUGUUAUUGUUUUCUCGAUUUAAAUUUUUAUAAUGUU